GCCUACGACCAUCUCACCCUGAAUGCGCGCGAUCUCGUCUGAUCUCGGAAGCUAAACAGAGUCGAGCCUGGUUAAUACUUGGAUGGGAGACUGCCUGGGAAUACCAGGUGUUGUAGGCU
ensembl:rRNA 5S_rRNA 5S ribosomal RNA